GGGGCAGUUGCCAGCUGGGCUGGGAGCUCCGCGAUGACUGCCAGGGCUUCAACCAAGGCACAGUGCUCUGCCAGCUGGGACAUCAUCAGCGCAUUGAGCGACUCCUGCUGCUGGAGCUGCAUCUGCUGGAGAAUGCACUCCAGAUGGUCUGCGUCCAUAGUGCAAGACGAUCCUGGGUUUCAGCACCACUAUAACAGACUACGCCAGAGACUGCAGACUUCCGAACCGAUGCAGAUGGGUCGUGGCCAACUGGACCCCGAUGAACGGCAACAUCGCCUCCACGUCAACCUGUGCCUCUACUGGGGAAUCCCUGGCCAUUUCCGCACAACCCGCCCAGCUUGCCCGCCGCAACCCAAUGUUAAGGUUAGUAAAUCGCAACUAACUGUAUCUAUGACUCUGGAGUGGCCGGGGAACAGAGUGGAGACGCGCGCUGGUAGAUUCCAGUGCAGCAAGCUGUUUUAUGAAUGCCGGUUUUCCUCACACACACAGCAUACCCAGACGAGCUUGAGAUGUACGCUUGUGGGUUGUUGGCUUUGACGCCCAACCAAUAGGGACUGGCUUAGUGGACUCACGCACCGAAUUGCUGCAUAUGUCGAUCGCGACUUGCCACCGCAAAGAACUCAUAUUUUACCUGGUGGCGUCACUGGACACACCAUUCAUCCUGGGCUUCACUUGGCUAGCACUACAUGACCCAGUGUUCUACUGGAGCACUAGGGACUUAGUUUUUUGGGGACCACAGUGCAAAUGCUCCUGCCUGUAGCUUCUGUGUCAGGUCACCUGUGUUGAAACUGCUGCGGAUACACCAGCAGUAGUGAUACCGUCUGAAUAUCAGGACUUAAGCGAGGCAUUCAGUAAACGUGAGCAGUGGCGCUGCCCCCGGACCAGCCGUGGGACUGCGCCAUCAACCUUCUUCCAGGAACCACACCCCCCUGUGGGAAGGUGUAUCCCUUGUCUCUCCCUGAACAAAAAGUCAUGCAGGAAUAUAUCACUGAAGCACUGAAUGCAGGCUACAUUUGACCAUCUAAGUCCCCACCCUCCGCAGGUUUCUUUUUCGUGGAGAAGAAGGACAGAGGUCUGCGCCCCUGUAUUGAUUAUUGUGGGUUGAAUGCUAUUAUGGUAUGAUACCCACACCCCCUGCCUUUGAUCACGGCAGCAUUAGAACGAGUGCAUAGUACAAAAAUUUUAACAAAACUGGACCUUCACAGUGCCUACAACCUGAUCCGAGUCAGGGAGGGGGAUGAGUGGAAUACCACCUUUAGCUCCACCCUGGGCCACUAUGAGUAUUUGGUCAUGCCUUUCGGUCUGUCUAACGCACCCUCAGUGUUCCAGGCUUUUGUCAAUCACAUACUAGGUGAUCUGAUGGACGAUUGUGUCCUGGUGUACCUGGAAGACAUUCUGAUCUUCUCCAAGUCCUGAGACCAACAUGUCCGCCAGGUAAGGACCGUUUUGCAGCGGCUCCUGCAAAAUCACUUCUGUGUCAAGGGGGAGAAACGUCUGUUCCACCAGUCACGGGUGCCAAUCCUGGGCUACAUCCUGA
rnacentral:lncRNA from 1 species